AGCGAACGCUGGCGGCAGGCUUAACACAUGCAAGUCGAGCGGGCACUUUCGGGUGUCCGCGGCGGACGGGUGAGUAACGCGUGGGAACGUGCCCUCUGGUUCGGAAUAACUCAGGGAAACUUGAGCUAAUACCGGAUACGCCCUUUUGGGGAAAGGCUUGCUGCCGGAGGAUCGGCCCGCGUCUGAUUAGCUAGUUGGUGGGGUAACGGCUCACCAAGGCGACGAUCAGUAGCUGGUCUGAGAGGAUGAUCAGCCACACUGGGACUGAGACACGGCCCAGACUCCUACGGGAGGCAGCAGUGGGGAAUAUUGGACAAUGGGCGCAAGCCUGAUCCAGCCAUGCCGCGUGAGUGAUGAAGGCCUUAGGGUUGUAAAGCUCUUUUAUCCGGGACGAUAAUGACGGUACCGGAGGAAUAAGCCCCGGCUAACUUCGUG
rnacentral:rRNA from 1 species